UAUUAUUAUUAUUAUUAGUAGUAGUAGUAUUACUAUUAUUAUUAUUAGGGUUUGUCUAACAUAUGCAACAUUGCACAUGCUAAGAUAUCUAAAAGUAGUAAUUUUUUAUUGAAAAACAAAACUUAUUUAUUAAAAAGCUACAUAUUUAAUAUGAAAUGCACAAGUUCCAAGUCAAAAUUACCAUUUUAAAUUUCUUAAUAUAUGCAAAUUUGCACAUGAUAGAAAAACCCUUAUUGUUAUUACUAUUAUAUGUAAAUCCUUUUUACCUUUGUUUUCUCAUAAGUCAUUGAAUACUUAUAAUAAGCUACUUUCGUACAUAAAUGAAAUAUAUAAUAUGUAUGGUAAUUAUUUAGUCUAAUUUUGCAUUUUGUAUGGUUCUAAAAUAUAAUUGGAAAGGUUUUUAAGGCCUAGCUUAAUUGAAAAAGUCGAGAUUGUUAGGGUGAAUAUUUUCUCGGUUACUCAGAUUUGAACUCGGGAUAUAUUCUUUGUACUCGUGAAUUUUCAAAUGAUGCUUGUCAUUCCGUCUACAGACCAAAUGAACUUAUUGAAAGAUUUAAACUUCUUCUCAAAUGUUCAGGAUGACAUGCUGAUUGCAAAGGAUGAGAUAUUUGGUCCAGUGCAAACUAUAUUCAAAUUCAAGGUCUUCACAAAGAACAUAGACACUACAAAUACUUUGACUAGAGCAUUGAGAGUGGGCGCAGUUUGGAUAAAUUGUUUUCAUACAUUUGAUACUGCAAUUCCUUUUGGUCGGUAUAAGAUGAGUGGACACAGGGCCAAUCUUAAGAUUUUUGGUGUCCUGGACUUGUGCCCUUUUAAUUAUUCUAAUAUUUUUGUAUUUUUUGUUGCACAAGAUUCAUUUAUAAUCAAAGUUCUCUAAAAAUAUAUUUUCAAUAGAAUUAAUAAAAGAAAAUUAAAAAGAAAUAUAUUUAUAUUGUACUAACUAUUAAGUAAAAAUAAUAAUUUUGGUGCCCCUAAAAAAAUGGUGCUAUGGGCUGCCGCCUCUUCCACCCACUUACAGGGCCACCCCUGAGUGGACAUAUGGCAGACAGAAAGGAGAAUACAGUCUUAAGAACUACUUGCAAGUGAAAGUCGUUGUUACUCCUUUGAAGAACCCAACAUGGCUUUGAGGAUCAAUAAAUCAUUAGUCAAUUAAAAUUAUGGUAAAGUUUUUAUUUAUUUGCCAUACAGUCAUUAAAUGUUGUCAUCUUUAAACUUCUUUUUUUUCCUCAUGCAUGAAUAAUUUAGAUGGUUAUGUAAUAAUUUCUUUUCAUUUUUUAUCUCUUGCAUUUCAUAUUUGUGAGACUAAAUUAUAAGGGAUGGUUGCAACACCGAAAAUUUAAAUUGAAGUUGUGUCCAGUGACACGACACUGAUGUAUUUGAUUAUUUUCUCAAAUUAUUACGAGUGCCUAUGUGUCAAUGUCAAAUAGUGUGAGUCGGCUGACCUACAUGGAAGGAAUAUGAGUAUUUCUCGGUUCCUGAACAUAUACAAUUACAAACCUCAAGCAAGCUAGAAAUUUGCUCUUUAUAAGAUUUUAUGCACAUCUUUGCACCGAGGUUGUUUUGUAAGUGGCAAGAAUUACCUUCAAUAAUGGAACAUCAUGGAUCUCUGACCUGAAAAAUAGAAAACAAUUGUCCACAAAUAAAAUAUGUAGGAUGUGAUAGGUGCUCCUACAAAUUUUAAAUCCUUGAAUAUAUCUUUCAACUUAGUUAAUUAGGUCGAUCAACCAUAAUCACAAAAUGAAAAGAUACGAAAAGAGCACCUCACUGAAUCUUUCUUCUACAUAGACCCAAGUUAAUAAUGAUUUACCAAAACAGAGUAUGUAUCUGGGGGAGCUAUGAUUUACCAAUGUUGAUAGAGUUGUUGCAGCCAUUUUUUUUUUUUUUUUGCAGCCAUGGCUUAAGAUGACAACUUAUGUAUUUCAUCUUUUUUUUUUUGUUUGCUUUCCCCAUUGUUUACCAUGAUUUAUCUUUAGUUUCAUGAUUUUAAAUUGUACUCGAGGUUGCCACUAAGCUGUGAACCUUGAUAGUUGCAAUUUGUGAAGACCUCUAAAACCUUUAUUUUGUGGUUUCGAUUGUGGUUGUGGACUCCACUUUAAAAGUAUGUUUGGUUCUGUUUUCAAUAAAAUCUGCAAUUAAAUAUGGGCAAAUGUGGCUGCAAUUGCGGUUGCAAUGCUGCCGCAGAGACUUCUAAAACCUUGGUAGAGUCAAGUAGAGCAUUGCAUGCAUAUGAAUCUAUGUGGAAGUUGUAGAUUUGACUAUAUGAAUCUAUGUGAAAGAUGUGUACAUGACUAUGUGUUCCAUGUGGUAAUUGUGUGAUUUGACGAUGGUGAUGGAGUGUGAAUGUUAUGUAUCCGACUUGGUGAUAAAUUGAUGAUGUGGAUACUUGUUACAUCCUUGUGAAGUUGAUUUGAGAUUUUGUCAUAUCUAUUUAAUUGAUUGAAUGAGAAAAAAAUGUGAUUAUGGUAAUGCUGGAAAGGAAUAUGUGAAUUUAUAUAAUGUGUGAUCCUAAAUACUAAGCAUGCGUUCAUAUCUUCUUUAUGUUGAACAUGUAUCUCACCCUCCAAUGGCAGUUUCGUCGCCUACAUCCUCGUGGUGUAGACGUGCAGGUUGAGGACGCUUAGUCAACGUGAGUUCUCGAGGACGAUUUGGUGCCUAGUCGCCUUUUACCGCUUUGUUUUCGUAGUCGUGUCUAGUAGAGCUCUGGUUAGGAAGUUGGGAUAUUUUAUUUAUGUUUAAGAUUUAUGUUUAAGGAACCAUUGAGUUCACUUUGAUGAUGUGUCUGAGAUUUGAUAUAUGACUUUUAGUUAUUAAGAUAUUAAUUUCCGCCGUGACUCUUUAUUUA